AAGAAAUUUGGUCAUUGGUAGCAUAUCAUUGUAGCACUAAUUCACUAACUGCUACUAAAAGUGACAAAAUCGGAUGGCAACUAUAUUGUAGCAUUAAGUUAGCGCUGGGAAAGAAUUUCAUUAAGCAGGAACCCAAAAAUCACUACUGUAGCAGAGAAAAUCAUUUUAGAGGCAAAACACUUAGCCAAAACUUUGUUUUUCCGCAACUCUCACAAAAGCAAACACUUAGGUCAUUUUUUUCUGAAAAUCUAAACCUUCGCUGACACCACGAAUCCGGUUUCCAGUCACCAGAAAACCCAAUUCCGGUCAUUCCUCAACCUUCGUCGCCUCGAUUCACUCGAUUUCCAGUCAUUUAUCAACCUUCGACGCCUCGAUUUACCUCUGGUUUCGAAAAGGAAAUCAACUCUUUAGUUGGUGUCGUCUGCGUCGUCGCUGAGUUGGUGUCGUCUCCGUAGCUCUAUUCCACCUGCAAUAUCGAAGAAGAAACCCACAACAGCAAGAAUCGAAGCACUAGAGAAAUCUUUGAGGACCUAACACGAAUAUAAGCAAGAGAAUCAAUCUCCUUUAAUUUACAAUCUUCAGGUUAUGGCUCUUAAAUUCGUUUGAAAUCUGGUUUUGUUUUUUGUUUUCUGCAAUAGAAAUCGAGACAUACAUUCAGAAGACAAUCUUCAGAUAAGGGUUCUUAGCUUCAGCUAUUAGUUUGCAGGUUGGAUCUUUUUGCUGGGGUGAAGACGACAAAAACUCAUAAAACCAAUCUUCAUAAGCUUAAAGCAGCUUGCUUGUUUGCAGGUACUUAACAUGGGAUGAUUAUUUCAUGGCGAUUGCUUUCCUUUCUGCAGAACGAUCCAAGGAUC